ACUUGACCUUAGAAUUCUCUCUCUCUCAAAGACGGCCACGAACCCUCUUCUCCUCCUAUUCCCAAAUCACAAAGAAGACCGAAAACCCCCAAAAGAAGAAGGAGAAGAAGAAGAAGAAGAAGAAGAAAGAAAUUUGUCACAAAAGCUUGAGAGUAGGAGAGUGGAGGUUUUGGGGUGGUUUCAAAAUUGAAAUGGAUUCAGAUCAAGGAAAGCUAUUCAUUGGUGGGAUUUCAUGGGAAACUACGGAGGAGAAGCUAAAAGACUACUUUGCUAGCUAUGGGGAUGUUUUGCAGACAGUAGUGAUGAGGGACAAAGUCACUGGGAGGCCCAGAGGUUUCGGGUUUGUGGUUUUUUCAGAUCCUUCUGUCCUCGAUAGGGUUCUUGAGGAUAAGCAUACCAUUGAUGGGAGAACGGUUGAGGCUAAGAGGGCCUUAUCAAGAGAGGAGCAGCAAACAUCAGCCAGAUCUGGAAAUGCUUAUCCUGCUAGAAAUGCUGGGAAUGGUGGAAAUAUGAGGACUAAGAAGAUAUUUGUUGGAGGGUUGCCUCCCACUUUAUCUGAAGAAGGAUUUCGUGAGUAUUUUGAGGGUUAUGGCCAUGUAACUGAUGUGGUAGUCAUGUAUGACCAAAAUACUGGACGACCUCGUGGAUUUGGAUUUAUUUCCUUUGAUACUGAAGAUGCAGUCGAUAGGGUUUUGCACAAGACAUUUCAUGAUUUGAACGGUAAGCAAGUGGAAGUAAAGCGUGCUCUUCCUAAAGAUGCCAAUCCUGGAGGAGGUAGCCGUGGGGGUGGAGGUGGUGGUGGUUACCAGGGCUAUGGGGCAUCCGAUGGCAACCAAAAUUCUUAUGAUGGUCGGAUGGAUUCCAGCAGGUACAUGCAAUCCCAGAAUGCUGGGGGUGGGUUUACACCUUAUGGUUCCUCUGGGUAUAAUGCACCUAGUUAUGGUUAUGGUCCUUCAAAUAAUGGCAUUGGUUAUGGGGGUUAUGGGGGUUAUGGUGGCCCUGCUAGUGCUGGAUAUGGAAACCCUAAUGCUCCUAAUGCUGGUUAUGCAAGUGGUCUACCAGGUGCCCAUAGAAGUUCAUGGAACACUCAAACCCCCUCUGGAUAUGGUGCAAUGGGCUAUGGGGGUGCUGGUCCUUGGGGUGUACCAGGUGCCGGUGCUGCUGCAGGCAGUGGUGGCCCUGGUUCUGCACCUGCAGGGCAAUCUCCCAGUGGAGCUGCUGGAUAUGGGGCUCAAAGUUAUGGUUAUGGUGGGUAUGGUGGAAGUGAGGGGUCCUAUGGGAAUUCAGCUGGGUAUGGUGCUGUUGGAGGGCGUUCUGGGAGUGCUGGUAGCGUUGGUGGUCAAAGUGGGGGAGAACUACCAGGGAGUGGUGGUGGCUACAUGGGGGGUGGCUAUGGUGAUGCAAAUGGAAAUACAGGCUAUGGAAAUGCUGCAUGGAGGUCUGAUUCGUCGCAAGGUUCUGGAACUUACGGGGCUCCUCAGGCAAAUGGUCCUCAAGGGGGGCAAAUUGGUUAUGGUGGUUGGUAUGGUGGUGCACAGGCGCGACAAGCCCAACAACAGUAAUUUUGACGGUUGCAAGUGAGCAGAUGUUCAUCUUUGUUUUAUGGAUCUCUCUUGAUAAAUGAGGUCAUAGUGGUUUCUCAUUGCCAGCAGCAGCACUGCCUCAAGUUGGAUGUCAAUACUCCUUGGGACUGGAGGAGAGGUGCACAAGUUCUAAAGUGAAGUGUCCACUCCACUCAUGGCUGAACACAAGCUUCAUAGUGCAUGUUCAUUGGGGGUGUUCAGCAUGGAAUUGAGUUUGAGGACUUUGUUCAGUUGAAAAUUACGCAUUUACAUGAGCCAAUUCAUUCUCAAGCCAGACCAACACUGCCAAACUUUGCAGAUUUCUCACAUUGAAGUCACUGUUUUCGUAAUUUGCAUUCGGUUUUGUGGUUGGCUGAUUGAAUUGUGAGAUGAGCGGCUUAUGGUAUGUUGGUCUCACUUUAAAAUUUGAUGGUACGACUGCCUUAUGAUUCUUAGGAUUAGAUCAUGGAAUGUGAUUCCAUAUGUUUAGAGUAACCAGAAAUGAGUUUCCCUGACAAAAAACAAACAGUGUCAUAAAAAUUUCGGAAUGAAUUAGUAGAUCUUCCUCAAAUGCUUUGUUGGUAAUUGCUUUUUGAGAAAAUAUAAGCUUAUCCAUAUUUAUGUUU